rnacentral:rRNA from 1 species
CGGAACACGUACGCAAUCUGCCCUUAUCGACGGGGAUAGCCCAGAGAAAUUUGGAUUAAUACCCGAUAGUAUUAUAAUAAGGCAUCUUGUUGUAAUUAAAGCUAUGGCGGAUAAGGAUGAGCGUGCGCAAGAUUAGCUAGUUGGUGAGGUAACGGCUCACCAAGGCGACGAUCUUUAGCUGAUGUGAGAGCAUGAUCAGCCACACGGGCACUGAGACACGGGCCCGACUCCUACGGGAGGCAGCAGUUGAGGAAUAUUGGUCAAUGGACGGAAGUCUGAACCAGCCAUGCCGCGUGAAGGAUGAAGGCGUUCUGCGUUGUAAACUUCUUUCAUUUAGGAAGAAACCACCGAUUUCUAUUGGUGUUGACGGUAUUAAAUGAAUAAGCACCGGCUAACUCCGUG